UACGUAGGGUGCGAGCGUUAAUCGGAAUUACUGGGCGUAAAGCGUGCGCAGGCGGUUUUAUAAGCCAGAUGUGAAAGCCCCGGGCUCAACCUGGGAAUGGCAUUUGGGACUGUAAGGCUGGAGUAUGGCAGAGGAGACUAGAAUUCCUGGUGUAGCAGUGAAAUGCGUAGAUAUCAGGAGGAAUACCGAUGGCGAAGGCGGGUCUCUGGGCCAAUACUGACGCUCAUGCACGAAAGCGUGGGGAGCAAACAGG
rnacentral:rRNA from 1 species